GACGAACGCUGGCGGCGUGCCUAACACAUGCAAGUGGAGCGACGAACCAGACUUCGGUCUGGGGCCAAGCCGCGAACGGGUGAGUAACACGUGGGUAACCUGCCCCGAUGAUCGGGACAACCCGGGGAAACCCGGGCUAAUACCGAAUGUGGUCGCGGUCCGUGAGGACCGUGACGAAAGGAAGCUUCGGCCUCCGCAUCGGGAUGGGCCCGCGGCCCAUUAGCUUGUUGGUGGGGUAAUGGCCUACCAAGGCAUCGAUGGGUAGCUGGUCUGAGAGGACGAUCAGCCACACUGGGACUGAGACACGGCCCAGACUCCUACGGGAGGCAGCAGUGGGGAAUCUUGCGCAAUGCGCGAAAGCGUGACGCAGCAACGCCGCGUGGGGGAAGAAGGCUCUCGGGUCGUAAACCCCUUUCAGUUGGGACGAAGCUUCGCCGGUGAAUAGCCGGCCGGAGUGACGGUACCUUCACAAGAAGCCCCGGCUAACUACGUGCCAGCCGCCGCCGUAACAC
rnacentral:rRNA from 1 species